UACGUAGGGCGCAAGCGUUGUCCGGAAUUAUUGGGCGUAAAGAGCUCGUAGGCGGUGUGUCACGUCGGCCGUGAAAACCUGCAGCUUAACUGUGGGCGUGCGGUCGAUACGGGCAUCACUGGAGUUCGGCAGGGGAGACUGGAAUUCCUGGUGUAGCGGUGAAAUGCGCAGAUAUCAGGAGGAACACCGGUGGCGAAGGCGGGUCUCUGGGCCGAUACUGAC
rnacentral:rRNA from 1 species